AAUAGAUACCCAGGUAGUCCACGCCGUAAACGUUGGGCACUAGGUGUGGGACUCACUCAACGGGUUCCGUGCCGAAGCUAACGCAUUAAGUGCCCCGCCUGGGGAGUACGGCCGCAAGGCUAAAACUCAAAGGAAUUGACGGGGGCCCGCACAAGCGGCGGAGCAUGUUGCUUAAUUCGAGGCAACGCGAAGAACCUUACCUGGGCUUGACAUGUAGGGAAAGCCAUAGAGAUAUGGUGUCCCUUGGGGUCCCGUACACAGGUGGUGCAUGGCUGUCGUCAGUUCGUGUCGUGAGAUGUUGGGUUAAGUCCCGCAACGAGCGCAACCCUUAUCCUAUGUUGCCAGCGGGUAAUGCCGGGGACUCGUAGGAGACUGCCGGGGUCAACUCGGAGGAAGGUGGGGACGAGGUCAAGGUCAUCAUGCCCUUAUGUCCAGGGCUGCAAACAUGCUACAAUGGCCGGUACAACGGGCUGCGAUACCGCGAGGUUGCGCGAAUCCCUUAAAGCCGGUCUCAGUUCGGAUUGGAGUCUGCAACGUCGACGUCCA
rnacentral:rRNA from 1 species